rnacentral:misc_RNA from 1 species
UCCGAGUUGACCCCGGCAGUCUCCUGCGAGUCCCCGCCAUUACGCGCUGGCAACACAGGACAAGGGUUGCGCUCGUUGCGGGACUUAACCCAACACCUCACGGCACGAGCUGACGACAACCAUGCACCACCUGUGCACGGCCCCGAAGGACACCAUAUCUCUAUGGCUUUUCCGUGCAUUUCAAGCCUUGGUAAGGUUCUUCGCGUUGCUUCGAAUUAAGCCACAUGCUCCGCCGCUUGUGCGGGCCCCCGUCAAUUCUUUUGAGUUUUAGCCUUGCGGCCGUACUCCCCAGGCGGAACACUUAACGCGUUGGCUGCGGCACAGGAGGAUUCGACUCCCCCCACACCUAGUGUUCAUCGUUUACGGCUAGGACUAC